UUCAAAGCAUCUAGCAUAACUAUGUUCGACUAAUUUGCGCCACUAGUCCUAUAACUUAAAUGCAUGGGCCAUAAGCAUAAUUCUUCCAGCUGCAAUUUGGGCAGACAAAGGAGAGAAGAUUCUAGGAUGCCCUGCACAAGCAAAUGCAAGAAUAUGGAAAAUUCCAUAUCUUGCUUCAGGCAUAUCUUCCUUUAUUAAUAAGUCAAUCAAUCCACUAAGGUCCUACCAAAACUGAAAAGGGAGCCUACAACUCCAUAUGCUAGUUAAACUUCAUUAUCAAUUCACUAGCUUAAACAAAAGGGAUAGAUAUAUAGGUCAAAAAUUUACAUAUGACUCCAGCCAUUACACUCAUCUUGUCAAAAUAUUUUUGAAUUUUAUGGGUGAUGGUUGUGUGAGAAAGGUUAUUUUCAAUAAAUUUUGGCUUUUAUGUCAUAAGCCUCUUUAAAAUUUGGUUUUAGAAAUCACUAAUUAACCACUAGGCCAUCUUCGAGAAUACACAAGUUACCUUAAUUUGACAUAAUAAUUCUAAUUACAAAACCUUCUUGCUUACCACUAAAACAUUCAAUAUAUCGAGAAACAUCACAAACUCCUUUUUCGGCCCAUCACUAAAACAUCAUUUUCUAUUUUUUGAGUUCCCACAUGAUAUGGAAAUUUUGCUUCACUAUAUAACACUGUCCAUCUACCAGCUUCAUAACUGUGAGAGAGAAAGAGAGAAAAAAGAAAAAAUGAAGUCUUUUGCUUGGAUUUUAAUCCUCUUAUUACUAUGCACAUCUAAUUUCAUAACAACUUUUGCUCAUCAAGAUCUUGAUAUGCUAAGGAGCAAAGAUUUACUGAUUUCGUCGUCAGAGGAGGAGAAAUUCUCGUUCCCGAUUAUGGAAAAAGUACAUGAUUCUGGCCAUGCAAGAAAGCUCACGACAGUAGAGGAGAUCACCUUUACCGGUAAGGGGCAGAAAGGGAAAGGCGCAUAUGGAGGCGCCAACGUUGUUCACAAGCGGCCAGGCGAGAAGAACGCUUCGCCAACCUAUAGGCCUUGCUUGUUUUUAUUCGCCGCCGUUGUUGGUUUCAGCUUCUUCUCAUGAACAACAAGUAUUGUGUGUUUUAUAGUCUUUGAGUUUAUUUUUUCCUUGCUAUAUUUGGUUGAUGAUUGUCUGUUUGCUUGGUGAUUUAUAGCGUGUGGCAUUGAUGAAACAGAAGAUUGUGUUUUCUUAUAUUUCAAUCUUGUAUUUAUUUGAUUAAUUUUGGAAUUCUUCAAGAAAAAGUGGAAGCAAAGAUUGUGCAA